ensembl:lncRNA
CUGGACAGUUCCACCCUGGGACAGAUCCUACCUGUUUCACAGUUUUGCCUGAAAUCAGCCCUAUCAUGGAGUUCUAAACUGCGUCCUGCCCCUAACGUCUAACUGCUUUCCCAUCUUGGGCAAAUCUGUCCGAGUUCUCUGCAAAGAGUACACCAGAGAAGACCAACUUUUCCUGCAUGCCUGCCUUUGAUCAGGGACUUUUGUCCCUUUGCCUAUGACCAGAGUCCACUCAGUUCCAGGGUCAGUGGCCUGUGCAUCUAUUGGCCUAGAGGUCAGAUUGGCCAGGUUAGGUUGAACAUUAUACUGAUAAGGAAAAGGUUUUCUUAGGAGAUUUUUUGCUUGCAGAAUGGAUAUCUUUGACUUUUGAAGCAAGGAGAAACAUCUGCUAGACUCUCCCAGUACUCUAUAGAAGAAUGAUUGGGUUGAGGAGAAAGAGUCCAGAGCUUUGUUUAAUGGUGAAAAGUGCUGACUAUCUCUGUUCAGUUAUUCCUCAUUCCACACAUGAUCCUUCAUUCUGCCCUUCACAGAAUACUGUUUAACUAUGGAGACAGGCAAGAAUACUGGAGUGGGCUACCAUUUCCUUCUCCAGGGGAUCUUUCCGACCCAGGGAUUGAACCUGCAUCUCCUGCAUUGCCAGAGAAUUCUUUACUGCUGAACCACCAAGGAAGCCCCAGGAGAUGGGAAGUGCCGGGGGCCAGCGUGAGGAACUCCGCCUAUGGUGAAGGUCAUGAGGAAGGAGGCUUGGCAUACGCAAAGGCGUGAUCAAGCCUCAGGAAACCGCCUGUUCCUGAGCAUCUAACCCCAAAACCAGAGUCUGUUUUAUGCUCUCACUUACAACUCUGACUUUACGAGGGGCUCUCCCCCAUAACCGUUUCUCU